CUCGUAGGCGGUUCGUCGCGUCCGGUGUGAAAGUCCAUCGCUUAACGGUGGAUCCGCGCCGGGUACGGGCGGGCUUGAGUGCGGUAGGGGGGACUGGAAUUCCCGGUGUAACGGUGGAAUGUGUAGAUAUCGGGAAGAACACCAAUGGCGAAGGCAGGUCUCUGGGCCGUUACUGACGCUGAGGAGCGAAAGCGUGGGGAGCGAACA
rnacentral:rRNA from 1 species